rnacentral:rRNA from 1 species
AUUGAACGCUGGCGGCAUGCCUUACACAUGCAAGUCGAACGGUAACGCGGGGCAACCUGGCGACGAGUGGCGAACGGGUGAGUAAUAUAUCGGAACGUGCCCAGUAGUGGGGGAUAGCCCGGCGAAAGCCGGAUUAAUACCGCAUACGACCUGAGGGUGAAAGCGGGGAUCGCAAGACCUCGCGCUACUGGAGCGGCCGAUAUCAGAUUAGGUAGUUGGUGGGGUAAGAGCCACCAAGCCGACGAUCUGUAGCUGGUCUGAGAGGACGACCAGCCACACUGGGACUGAGACACGGCCCAGACUCCUACGGGAGGCAGCAGUGGGGAAUUUUGGACAAUGGGCGCAAGCCUGAUCCAGCCAUGCCGCGUGC